UGGCCCUGUAUGAAGAAUAGAAUGCUCCUGGUUACUGUCUACAGAAAUCAUGGAAAUAAUCUCUGCUUUUUUUUUUUUUUUAAGGAGUCAUUUUUUUAUGUAGAAGUUUCUUUCGGAUACCUUUGUGAAUUCAUGCUUCAGCAUGUGGUGUCCCUGCUUCCCUGGAAUUUUGGGAGAAGGCCAGAGGGCUGCCUGGAGGAGGUGGUACCUGCUGAUGCACAGACUGCCUCCAAGUCUAGGUUCCUUUGUGUGGCCUUCAAAGCCCCACCCCCCAGCGCCCUCAGUCAUUUUCGCCUCAAUCCUAAAUUGGCUUCUCCAAACUUGCAGUUGCUUCCAGAAUUUGCUAGUCCAUUCCUGUCUCCAUUGUUGUACAAACUCUCCCCUCUGGUGUGCUUGCUGCCUCUUUGCUUUUGUUCCCUAACGAACUUCUAGUCAUCCUUCAAUGCCCAGGCCCAGUGAGUGCAUGCCCAUCUGUCCGGGUAUACCUUACCCGCCUCUUCUAGGCAGCUCCCUGUGUUUAACCCCAGCAUGGAGAGGAGGAGCUUCCUCAUUUGACCUAAGUGCCUGGAUGACACUGCCUGUGACCUGCCCUCAGGGACUCCUGACCAGGGUGUAUAAAGAUAAAAGCCUGCUCUGUCAUGGUGAGAAGGGACAGAAGCACACAGAUGAGCCCUCCCCGGUGAAAGCCAUGUGCAUGCUUAUUUUUGGUGUUUUAUGGGCCUCCUCAAAAGAUGAGAGAUGGAAAACAGAACUAUACCCACCCUGAGCUCUGUGGCCUGAAGAGUGGAUGGAAGGAACCAACCUAUUUUACAGAUAGGCAUCUGGAUGUGUAUUUAUGGCUUUCCAAACGAUGCUGUCUCGAAGAAAAACUAUCCACAGCGACGACUCUACGGAGAGGGCUGAGCCAGAGCGAAGUUCAAGGCUUUCUCAUGGUCUCCCAGGGACGCCUGGGACUCGAGUUUCUGAAGCAGACAUUGACCAAUGGGCUAUGGUUUGGGUCCUACACAGCAGCCUGCAUGCAGGAAGACCAUGCUCACUGGGGCCUCGACAGCACCCAGAGUGCCAGGAGUGAAGCAAAGCAUUGUAGCUGUGCACACUGACAGGGCAGGGGUGAGGAUAGGCCAUUGUUCCUCCUCCUUCUUCAUCUCCCCUUCCCUCCCUCCUGACUUCUCUCCUACCUUUCCUCUCUCUCUCUCUCUCUCUCUCUCUCUCUCUCUCUCUCUCUCUCUCUGUUUCUCUCUGUCUCUCUGUCUCUGUCUCUGUCUCUGUCUCUCUCUCUCUCUCUCGUUCUUCCCUCCCUCCUUCUCCCCUUGUUCUUUGUGAGCCAGGGUCUCAUGCAGUUCAGGCUGGCUUCAAAUUCACCAUGUGACCGAGGAUGACCUUGAACUCCUAAUGCAUCAUCUGCUUACACCUCCAGAAUGUGGGGUUACAGGAAUGUCCAGCUCAUCAGUGCUGGGGCAGAACUCCAGGCUUCCUGGAACUAGGCAAGUUCUCUGCCUACUGGGCCCCACCUCCAGCCUCCCUCCUUUAGACAGAGUCUUGCUAUGUAGACCAGGCUGGCCUUGAACUCACUGUCCUUCCAACCUCUGCCUCCGAAGGAUGAUUGGCAGGUAUGAACCCUAUCUCUUAUGUCUUAGCUCUGUCUCUUACAGGCUGUGUGACAGCCCAGGAGUGGCUUUUCUACACAGGCAGGCAUAUAGUAGACAUUUGCAAACUACCGAACCUUUCUAAGUCUCUGUUUCCUCGUCCAAAAGUGAGCAAUAGCCGGGCAUUGGUGGCGCAUGCCUUUAAUCCCAGCACUCGGGGAGGCAGAGACAGGCGGAUCUCUGUAAGUUUGAGGCCAGCAUGGUCUCCAGAGCAGGUGCCAGGAUAGGCUCCAAAGCUACACAGAGAAACCCUGUCUUGAAAAACCAAAAAAAA
rnacentral:lncRNA from 1 species